rnacentral:rRNA from 1 species
UACGUAGGGUGCGAGCGUUGCCCGGAUUUAUUGGGCGUAAAGGGCGCGUAGGCGGCCACGCACGUCCGUUGUGAAAUCGCCCGGCUCAACUGGGCUAGGUCAGCGGAUACGGUGUGGCUCGAGCAAGCUAGGGGGCAAUGGAAUUCCCGGUGUAGUGGUGGAAUGCGUAGAUAUCGGGAGGAACACCAGUGGCGAAGGCGGUUGCCUGGAGCUUUGCUGACGCUGAUGCGCGAAAGCGUGGGGAGCGAUCCGG